rnacentral:rRNA from 1 species
CCGACGGUGAGGGACGAAAGCUGGGGAAGCAAACCGGAUUAGAUACCCGGGUAGUCCCAGCUGUAAACGAUGUGCGUUAGGUGUAUCGGUGACCACGAGUCACCGAGGUGCCGAAGAGAAAUCGUGAAACGUACCGCCUGGGAAGUACGGUCGCAAGGCUGAAACUUAAAGGAAUUGGCGGGGGAGCACCACAACAGGUGGAGCCUGCGGUUUAAUCGGACUCAACGCCGGAAAACUCACCAGAUAA